CCUACGUGAGGCAGCAGUGAGGAAUAUUGGUCAAUGGCCGUAAGGCUGAACCAGCCAAGUAGCGUGAGGGAAGACUGCCCUAUGGGUUGUAAACCUCUUUUAUGCGGGGAUAAAGGUGUCCACGUGUGGAUGUUUGCAGGUACCGCAUGAAUAAGGACCGGCUAAUUCCGUGCCAGCAGCCGCGGUAAUACGGAAGGUCCGGGCGUUGUCCGGAUUUAUUGGGUUUAAAGGGAGCGUAGGCCGGUCUUUAAGCGUGCCGUGAAAUUUUGUGGCUCAACCAUGAGAGUGCGGCGCGAACUGGAGGCCGUGAGUGCGCGGAGGGCAGGCGGAAUUCGUGGUGUAGCGGUGAAAUGCUUAGAUAUCACGAAGAACCCCGAUUGCGAAGGCAGCCUGCCGCAGCGUUACUGACGCUGAAGCUCGAAAGCGCGGGUAUCGAACAGGAUUAGAUACCCCAGUAGUC
rnacentral:rRNA from 1 species